AAUUAUUGGUGAACUGGUGUUCGAGUUUUGGGGUCCGUCACGUGUGAGGGUGUUAAAUGUGGAAAUUUGUAUGGGACACCCAAUCUCCCAGAGGUCCUUUGAGGCUGGUUGACUAGCAAGCUUUGCUGUUGAUAAACCUGGGUUCAUGCAGGCUGAACGAGUUAGACACGAGUCCAAACGACGUCGAUUAAAUGUUCAAAUUUGGGUACGGUACUAUCCGUUUAAUUCACAUAUGGUUCAAUUUAUCUGAGUCUGACUUUACUUAUUGACAGUUGUUAGUUAAAUUUUAGAAACUCAAAUGUCAAAUACAUAUGUGUACGAUGAACAUGGAAUUUAUCGUUUGUAUAAUUCGACGUCGAUUUGGAUGAAUGUCCAAUCCGUUCCUGUGUUGGCGAAACUUUUAGGUUAUGUUUACCUGUAAAACGUUGAGUGUUCAAUCUGUUGGAGUUAACACAUGCCGAAAACCAUCAUACAAUUGGAGUUUUAAUUUAAUAUUCUCCAAUUCCUGGAUGACAAACUCCUAAUUGAAGCCCACGUGUUGGACGUAUCUUCCACAGGUUUUUAUCCAGAAGUACAAAAUCGAAAUACAAUUAAUUGAAAACAAUUUAAAAUGCUACUCGAUUGAAACAAUUUGAAUAAUUCUACUCGAUUGAAACAGUUUUAGAUGUAGGUGGGAUUUUGGAGGCAAAAUUGUCACCAACCAGUUGAAAAAAAACAUAACUAUUAUGUUUGUAUGAAAUUAUGUUAUGCAGUGACUAUGAUGAAAUUUCCCUAUAAAUAAGGGGUACUUUUAGCAGAUUCACUACAUAACAUGUACCCCCCUCUCAUCUUUCAGGCAGUAAUCUUACUGUGUAGUGAUGAGGAUCCGUCACAGAGGAAUAAUUAUCAUCUUCAGGUGGGGUGAAAAGAUAUGCUCUUAAAGUUAGGGUACCCGAAGCUAAUAUUGGAAGAAUCUUGGUGAUUGUAUGGAAGAGAAAAAAAAAAUCACCGGUUAAGAAGUAAAGCCAAAUCGGAACGAAUAAUGUUGUAAGUUGAACCAGUGUCAAUCAUUGACCGAUAUUUAUGCUCUAAGAUAUCCAAUUCGAUAAACGGUAUAGCGUUUUGGUAUUUGAAUUCGCACUUGUGGGAAAGGGAAGCAAAUAAUUUCCGCUGUUGAGGUGAAUUAUCGGAAUUGCUUCGAGAUUCCUUCAAUUGUCAACUAUGUUUUGGAUUUUCUCGCGAGAUCGCAUUCUUUAGUCGAUUUGCAUUUUCAUCAGCGCGUUUGGCAAUUUGGUAUAAUUGUUCGAAUGUCGUAGGUUGGGGGAAGAUGGUUGCUAACAAUGGUAGGUAUUCGGAAUUUGCACUGUCAAGGAUGUGCGUCACGAUGCGCGUUUCGUCGUGAAGGUUUAGGACCUUAGCGGUGAUCUCCAAAUCGUAAGUGAAUUGCUUGAGAGAUUCAUUGGAGUUUUGGUACCUGAAGAUUUUUUCUAGUUGAAUCCUUGACAUUUGGGUGGGGGACAAGAAUUUUAUCAGAAGUUCACUUUUAAUGUGGUCCCAGGUGUUAGUGGGGGUUGCUAGUCUAGAUAGCCAUAGUUGUAAUUCACCCUCCGUUUGUGUAACUAAUCCUUUAAUGAGUUUAGGUAGUGGCAUAAUGUUCAAAUUAACAAUAUUCUCCACUUUUAUUAGGAAAUCUAUGAAGAUGGAUGGGUUAUCGCCGUCUGCUCUUGGUAGAUUUUGGCACAAUUGGGUCAUAUCUGGUUUGAAGUUGGGACCCGAUAGGUUCUUAAUUUGUUUUUGAGUAUCCAAUAGAAGUUGAUUAUGGAUGGCCAAUAAUUGUGUUAGACUGUCCCUGUGAGCGGUCCUUUGGUUGGGAGCCACGAGAUUCGGCACGUUGUUAUUUGAAAUGCUUUGUUGAUUAUUGAAAUUGGGAAGGUUAAAGUUAUUAAAAUUUUGAGCAUUCGAGUCAUGAUUAAUAUUUAAAUUUGGGUUAGUUAAAUUAUGACCAGAAAUGUUAAAAUUAUUAUUUUGUGGCGGCUGUGUAGUACCAGCGUUAUAAAAACUUGUGUUAUAAGCAGGUGGGUUGAAUAAGUUUUGCGCCUGGUUGUCAAUAAUUGGUGCCGAAGGUCGUGGUCCAAGUGUGAGACCUGAAGAUGGGGGAGGGGUUGGAUUGAAACUAAGAGCUCGUGUUCUGAUUGGUGACAAUCUACCGUCCGGGUGUAUAUUGUAAAGGAUUUGGUUAAAGGGUACCUGGUGUCUUACAGUUGAUGGUGUUGUAGGUAGACGUGGAGAUGAAGCUACUGCUGCUGCUCCAUAUCCGCUGGCAUUAUGUAGGAACGAUGGUGGCACGGUGCGGGGAAUGGCGCCGUUGUUGUUGUUAGAUUGCAUCUUCAAUUGUUGUUAAAUACUGAUUUGA